AAAAAAAAAAAAAAAAAUCAAAUCCCCACUGUGCCACCUGCUAGCUGUGGGACUGGGAGUAAAUAAUGGUUUUUUUUUUUAAAUAUAUAUAUUUGUUUGGUUGGGUUCUUUUUUGUAGUUGUUUGCUAUUAAGGUUGACCAUUCCAAUCUUCUGGGGUUGCUGGGAAGGCUAAAUAAGGUCAUUGGCAUAAAACAAGACAUCUUCAGUUAGGAUUUAAUUCAGACAACAUCUGCAAAGGAAUCAGCUCCAUGUUUUGACACCCACACCCUCAAUGUCAUUCAUCACAGGUCUGGAGGCGCCAGCACAAGGAGGUGUCUAGGCUCAGAAGCCACAGGACAUGGUACCAUGCCUUGAUUUCUGGCAGGAGUCCAAAAUGCAGGUCAACUUUCUGGGGAUAAUCGUUUCUACAAAUGGAUGAAAUACUGAAGACUAAAACCCCGCUUGGCAUCAUGACUGCUACACCGUGGCCUCCAGACAUACGUUGCUUGGGCAUUUGGGGCAUUUUGUAUAAAUCAAGGGAAGAAUUUUGUUCUCAAGAAUGUUAAAGCUGAA
rnacentral:lncRNA from 10 species